rnacentral:tRNA from 1 species
GGGGGUAUAGCUCAGUGGCAGAGGACACAUUUAGCAUUCAUGAGGUCCUUGGUUCAAUCCCCAGUACUUCCA